CAUAUUGAUACUGAUAAGUCUCUCUCCUUUAUUUGCAUUUUCUAGCAUAUCCUUUAAGCAUUCCAGAAGGAUUUUGAGAACCAUCCUUUCCUAAAUCAAAGCUAGAAUAUUUGGAGAUUUGGAAAAUUGAG
rfam:Rattus norvegicus strain BN/SsNHsdMCW Contig147286, whole genome shotgun sequence.